UUUACGUCAGUGUCAACAUCCGGUUGUUGAUCGUGUGACUCGAGUGACACGAACACUUUGUACCAUAACGAGUUUUUUGUUUUUCCAAAAUCGCCAAUUUUAUUUUCAGAACGUGAAAUUCCGUAGUUAUAUGUUUAUUCUGCCUUUUACUUGUUAAACAGGAUCACGUUCUUGUAAACCACAUUAGGACUCCCCCUGGUGGAUGUUUUGUUACACUGUUUGAUUACGCUGAAAAAAAGAAAACAGAGAUCCAAGAUGGCGGAACGUAAUACCGAAGAGUUCCUGAAUUAAACCGACAUCACGUUGAAACGUUGUUGUUUUGGACGAGAUUUGUUCGGCGUUCUCUGAGGACAAGGAGGAUCUGCUGCGGCUCUGGAUCCUGCUGGUCAUCGUCUCUGGAGAACAGCUCAGCAGAACCACGGCACUCGGUUCCCCCAUCUGAUCCCACAGAGGAGAAAACGUCUCAGUGGAUCCAUGUGGGGUCAGUGUUGGUGCGCUGCCUUGCCUUGGCUUCGUACUCCUCCGCCUGCUUCAGGUCUCUGGGGAAGCCGCUCACCACCAGACCCUUUCCCUGUCGGACCGCAGACGUCACGGCGUCACACAGCAGCUCCAGCAGCGUCUCCUAGAGAUUCAACACAAAUAAUUCAUCAUGUCAUGAAUUGAAG